rnacentral:rRNA from 1 species
CCUACGGGAGGCAGCAGUGAGGAAUUUUCCGCAAUGGGCGAAAGCCUGACGGAGCAAUACCGCGUGAGGGAUGAAGGAUUUUGGUCUGUAAACCUCUUUUCUCAAGAAAGAAGUUCUGACGGUACUUGAGGAAUAAGCAUCGGCUAACUCCGUGCCAGCAGCCGCGGUAAUACGGGGGAUGCAAGCGUUAUCCGGAAUGAUUGGGCGUAAAGCGCCUGUAGGUUGUUUAUUAAGUCCGUUGUUAAAGCCUAGGGCUCAACCCUAGAAAAGCAAUGGAAACUAGUAGACUAGAGUAUGGCAGGGGUAGAGGGAAUUUCUAGUGUAGCGGUGAAAUGCGUAGAUAUUAGAAAGAACACCGGUGGCGAAAGCGCUCUACUGGACCAUUACUGACACUCAGAGGCGAAAGCUAGGGUAGCAAAAGGGAUUAGAUACCCCUGUAGUCCUAGCCGUAAACGAUGGAUACUAGAUGUUGUGCAUUAUGUACAGUAUCGUAGCUAACGCGUUAAGUAUCCCGCCUGGGGAGUACGCUCGCAAGGGUGAAACUCAAAGGAAUUGACGGCUGAGAGNGCGACGCGACACGAGGAGAG